ACCAGACUCCUACGGGAGGCAGCAGUGGGGGAUAUUACACAAUGGGGGAAACCCUGAUGCAGCGACGCCGCGUGUGGGAAGACGGUCUUCUGGAUUGUAAACCACUGUCCCCAGGGACGAAAAUGACGGUACCUGGGGAGGAAGCACCGGCUAACUCCGUGCCAGCAGCCGCGGUAAUACGGAGGGUGCAGGCGUUGUCCGGAAUCAUUGGGCGUAAAGAGUUCGUAGGCGGCAUGUAAAGUCAGGUGUUAAAGGCGCAGGCUCAACCUGUGUAUGGCACUUGAUACUUGCAAGCUGGAAUGCGGUAGAGGUAAAGGGAAUUCCUGGUGUAGCGGUGAAAUGCUUAGAUAUCAGGAGGAACAUCGGUGGCGUAAGCGCUUUACUGGGCCGUAAUUGACGCUGAGGAACGAAAGCCAGGGUAGCAAAUGGGAUUAGAUACCCGUGUAUC
rnacentral:rRNA from 1 species